rnacentral:lncRNA from 1 species
GCUGUUACAAAAUGAUAGAAAUUAUUAUAAAUUAAGGAAUGUAUCUCCCUCAUGCAAAGCUCUGAUUCGUUUCACGGAUUUGGCUAUACUUUUUGGACCUUUUGGAUUAUAGCUCUUCAUCUUUUUUAUAUAAGCUUUGGAUUUCAAAUAUUUUGGCCACGAGCAUCACUGAAGAGACAUGUAUUGUCGAAAUGCGCAUCUGGUGCAAGAAAAU